CCUACGGGAGGCAGCAGUGAGGAAUAUUGGUCAAUGGACGAGAGUCUGAACCAGCCAAGUCGCGUGAAGGAAGAAGGUACUUAGUAUUGUAAACCUCUUUUGUCACGGAGCAAAGGGCUCCACGUGUGGCGUUUUGCGAGUACCUGAAGAAAAAGCAUCGGCUAACUCCGUGCCAGCAGCCGCGGUAAUACGGGGGAUGCGAGCGGUAUCCGGAUUUAUUGGGUUAAAGGGGUGCGCAGGCGGAAUGUCAAGUCAGCGGUAAAAUUUCGGGGCUCAACCCCGUCGUGGCGUUGAAAUUGCGUGCUUGAGUGAGCGAGAGGUAUGCGGAAUGCGUGGUGUAGCGGUGAAAUGCAUAGAUAUCACGCAGAACUCCGAUUGCGAAGGCAGCAUACCGGCGCUCAACUGACGCUCAUGCACGAAAGCGUGGGUAUCGAACAGGAUUAGAUACCCCUGUAGUC
rnacentral:rRNA from 1 species